GACUCUCGACAACGGAUAUCUAGGCUCUUGCAUCGAUGAAGAACUUAGCGAAAUGCGAUACUUGGUGUGAAUUGCAGAAUCCCGUGAACCAUCGAGUCUUUGAACGCAAGUUGCGCCCGAUGCCAUUAGGUUGAGGGCACGUCUGCCUGGGUGUCA
rnacentral:rRNA from 1 species